AUAUUCAGACACAUGGCCUUGAACUCGUAAUAACUCACGCAUGUAAGCCACAAUAACUUCAUUUGCAUGCAACCACCUUGAAUGAAUGGUCUCAGUAAAUGUGUCAUUUAUUCUCAAUAUUCUGGAGUGCUGGAAAAAAUGUGGAGUCAAAGGAUCCCUCAGUCUGCUGGUGUGACCUGGGGCACCCAUCCCUGUUCCUUCUCCUCUUACAUGGGAUAAAACCCCAGCGGAGCCGUGUCUCUGGAUCAUUGUGAUGGAUUAGGUGUUCUGCUGAGAGCUGGGCUGUCUGCUUAGAAAUCAGCCUCCAGGCCUGACUUUUGGCCUCUGCCCCGCCUGUGGAGUCGGUGUGGGCUCCAGAUUCCAGAGGCGAAGGAUACAUCCUAGUGCCAGCUCAGAUCUGAAACAGGCGUGCCCUUCGUUUUCAGAAAAUGGUUUCAUCGUCAUUGUCCUGAAAGCCACUGCCUGGAAGGGCUGUGCAGCGCUCAGAGUGGGAGAGGCAGACCUCUGAGAGAAAUGACUUCAGCAUCACUACAGCUGUGGCUAGAAUGAGAACAGCCUCAAAUUUCACUAAUGAAGAGAUUUUCUGAGUUCCAUGUGAGCAACGCCGCUUCCUUCCCAUCCCCGAGUUGUUCCCCUUGUCAUAGAAAAAAGACACAACCAAAAGGGAGAGCUGCCAUCCUUUCAGGUCCCUUCUUGUUCUUCGUCUCACUGAAUUCACCCCUAAAUGCUUUGAAGUAUUCUCCAUGACUG